UGUUUGUGGGGGCCCAACACUCUUUUAAAUCGACUCUCACUCUUUCUCAUUCAUUCUUUCAUCUCCUCUUUCUCGCUCUAUCCUUUUCUCACCUUAAUUAAAUCGCUGCAUUCCCCUUCCUUUGAUUUCAACUCUUUCUCUGUCUUCCUCUUCCACUUUCUUCCUCCGUUAUUGCAAGAAGCACUACGAAAGUUAGCUCUAGCCAUAAGCGGAGUCAAGAAGCCCCAAUACUUCCAACCUAUAAUCGUCGCUCUUCAUCAGAUCUGGAAUUCAUUCGUACUUUAAGAGGCCACUUUCUAUCUCCGUUGUCAUCACCGCCCUUCAAGACGUCGUUUCAGGAAAAAAAGCAUAUAGGCAAUUUGAAUUUGUCCCCGACAAAUCGCGUUGGCCACCAUAACAAUGCUCUUUAUGGUUUUCAAAGGAUAUAAUGGUGUGAUUAAAAAAGCAGUCCAGUUCCCAUCUUAUGAUCCUACGUACUGGUGACCUACUAGAACCACUCAUGAAUCCAUUUGGUAUACGUGUGCAGAGCUACUCUUUAUUUUGACGUCUACAAGUUAUACUAUUAAUGUAUGGAGUAUAUGCUAUAAUGUAUGGAGUUUAUGCUUGUAAAAUUUUGUAAACUACUACUUAUUAAUUAUUUCAAUAAGUUCAUAGUUGUAGAUUAUUUCUAACAAGUUUCUGUACUUGUACUGUUCAUGUUGUAAUUUAAUAAUUGUAAACUUCAAUAUUAAGUUUAUGUAAGUUUCUUUACAAGAUUCCUUUUGUAAUUUACUUUUUUUUUUUUGCCAAUUAUAGUAUAGUAAUAAAAU